AAGUUCCGCUGCAGCAAUGUGAUUGUCGGCGGGGCGCGAGCGUGUCAUGCGCCGCUGGUCGGCAAUACGUAUCGUAUCGCCGCUGGUAGGGGGUGUAAAAUAAUAACGAAGUGACGUAACUCGGUAAAAUAUAGUGUUGUGGUGUAUGUGGGAAAAUGUCAGCCGUAUGUAUGACUGUGUGCUCCGUUCGCACUCAUAACGGUUGAAACGUGUAUUCCAGCAACAUCUUUGACUGAGUUGAGUUGUUGCAUCGUAGGAAACUGGACGUAACUAAUGUUCAGCUGAGUUAAACUUGUCACGUCCUGAAAUAAGAACACUUUUCAUCGUUGAGUGUGAACUGUGAAACAGCCUACAAACCAGUUUUUUUUUUUUUUUUUUUUUUCCUCGUCCAACGGACCAUUUAUUCCGUAUAACGGCAUUUUUUUUCCAUUGAUGGCCGUUUUACUUCCACGACAUACUGAUACUGUACUUCCCUCUUCACUAAGGGGUUCUUCACUGUGAGAAAUGAGAAGUGUAAUAAGAACUAUACAGCUGAUGUACAUCAACCGUAUUCUGAAGAAGGGAUGGGACAUUUGACAGCAGAAAAAAAAUGUGCUGAGAUUCACAGCAGUUCGUCCGAGACACCGCUCAGGAACUGAUCCAUCCCUACAACCCAGAGCGCAUCAGGCUGGCAUUCGGGAACUGAGCAGAAGAAGAGCCGGAAGGCACUGGUAGUC